AUAAUAAAAAAAAUAAAUAAUAUAAAAAGAAUAUUAAAUAAUAAUAAUAUAAAUAUUAAUAAUAAAUUACAACAUUUAAAUAAUAUAAAUAAUUGAAAUCUACAAAAAUUUAUUAAUAUAAAAAAAUAAAAAUAUAAACUAUAAAUAUAAAUUACUAUAAAUGAUAAAUUAAUUAAUAAAUUAUUAUAUAAAAUAAUAACUUUAAAAUUAAAUAAUAUAAAUAUUAAUAAAAUUAUUAUAAGUAAACUUAUUAAUCAACAUAGUUUAAAUAAAUUAAAUAUUAAAUUUUUUAUUAUUAUAAUAAUAAUAAUAAUAAUAAUAAUAAUAAUAAUAAUAAUAAUAAUAAUUAUUAUAUAAAUAUAAUAAUAAUAAUAAUAAUAAUAAUAAUAAUAAUAAUAAUAAUAAUAAUAAUAAUAAUAAUAAUAAUAAUAAUAAUUAUAUUGGUAAUAUUAAUAAUAUUUAUAAUAAUAUAACUAUUGAUAAUAUUCCUAUAGAUAUUUUAAUAUAUAAAUAUUUAGUUGGUUGAUCUAUUAAAUUUAAAGGUAGAUUAAGUAAUAAUAAUGGUAGAACUAGUACACUUAAUUUAUUAAAUGGUACUUUUAAUAAUAAAAAAUAUUUAUGAAGUAAUAUUAAUAAUAAUUAUAAAUUAAAUUAUAUCCCUUCUAAUCAUAAUUUAUAUAAUAAUUCUAAUAUUAAUAAAAAUGGUAAAUAUAAUAUUAAAGUUAAAUUAAACUUUAUUUAA
rnacentral:rRNA from 1 species